rnacentral:rRNA from 1 species
UACGUAGGGUGCAAGCGUUGUCCGGAAUUAUUGGGCGUAAAGAGCUCGUAGGCGGUCUGUCGCGUCGGAUGUGAAAAUCCAGGGCUCAACCCUGGACCUGCAUUCGAUACGGGCAGACUAGAGUUCGGCAGGGGAGACUGGAAUUCCUGGUGUAGCGGUGAAAUGCGCAGAUAUCAGGAGGAACACCGGUGGCGAAGGCGGUGGUCUGGGCCGGCACUGACGCUGAGGAGCGAAAGCGUGGGGAGCAAACAGG